AACGAACGCUGGCGGCAGGCUUAACACAUGCAAGUCGAACGCCCCGCAAGGGGAGUGGCAGACGGGUGAGUAACGCGUGGGAACGUACCCUUUACUACGGAAUAACUCAGGGAAACUUGUGCUAAUACCGUAUGUGCCCUUCGGGGGAAAGAUUUAUCGGUAAAGGAUCGGCCCGCGUUGGAUUAGCUAGUUGGUGGGGUAAAGGCCUACCAAGGCGACGAUCCAUAGCUGGUCUGAGAGGAUGAUCAGCCACACUGGGACUGAGACACGGCCCAGACUCCUACGGGAGGCAGCAGUGGGGAAUAUUGGACAAUGGGCGCAAGCCUGAUCCAGCCAUGCCGCGUGAGUGAUGAAGGCCCUAGGGUUGUAAAGCUCUUUCAACGGUGAAGAUAAUGACGGUAACCGUAGAAGAAGCCCCGGCUAACUUCGUG
rnacentral:rRNA from 1 species